GACGAACGCUGGCGGCGUGCUUAACACAUGCAAGUCGAGCGGUAAGGCCCUUUCGGGGGUACGACGAGCGGCGAACGGGUGAGUAACACGUGGGUGACCUGCCCUCAGCUCUGGGAUAAGCCUGGGAAACUGGGUCUAAUACUGGAUAUGACUCCACGGUGCAUGUCGUGGGGUGGAAAGCCUUGUGCGGCUGAGGAUGGGCCCGCGGCCUAUCAGCUUGUUGGUGGGGGG
rnacentral:rRNA from 1 species